rnacentral:sRNA from 1 species
GUUAAAAGUUUUUGUAGGCAGGUUUCU